GUAGGUGGCAAGCGUUGUCCGGAAUUAUUGGGCGUAAAGCGCGCGCAGGCGGUUUUUUAAGUCUGAUGUGAAAGCCCACGGCUCAACCGUGGAGGGUCAUUGGAAACUGGAGAACUUGAGUACAGAAGAGGAAAGCGGAAUUCCACGUGUAGCGGUGAAAUGCGUAGAGAUGUGGAGGAACACCAGUGGCGAAGGCGGCUUUUCUGGUCUGUAACUGACGCUGAGGCGCGAAAGCGUGGGGAGCAAACAGGGAUUAGAUACCCUGGUAGUCCACGCCGUAAACGAUGAGUGCUAAGUGUUAGGGGGGUUUCCGCCCCCUUAGUGCUGCAGCUAACGCAUUAAGCACUCCGCCUGGGGAGUACGGCCGCAAGGCUG
rnacentral:rRNA from 1 species